CGAAGGGGGCUAGCGUUACUCGGAAUUACUGGGCGUAAAGGGCGCGUAGGCGGCGUUCCAAGUUAGGCGUGAAAGUCCUGGGCUCAACCUGGGAACUGCGCUUAAGACUGGAGUGCUAGAGGAUGGAAGAGGGUUGUGGAAUUCCCAGUGUAGAGGUGAAAUUCGUAGAUAUUGGGAAGAACACCGGUGGCGAAGGCGGCAACCUGGUCCAUUACUGACGCUGAGGCGCGAUAGCGUGGGGAGCAAACAGGAUUAGAUACCCUGGUAGUCCACGCCGUAAACGAUGUGCGCUGGAUGUUGGGUGACCUAGUCACUCAGUGUCGUAGCUAACGCGGUAAGCGCACCGCCUGGGGAGUACGGCCGCAAGGUUG
rnacentral:rRNA from 1 species